rnacentral:rRNA from 1 species
UACAGAGGGUGCAAGCGUUAAUCGGAGUUACUGGGCGUAAAGGGCGCGUAGGCGGUGAUAUGGGUGUGAUGUGAAAGCCCUGGGCUUAACCUGGGAAGUGCAUCGCAAACUAUAUGACUGGAGUACAAGAGAGGGUGGCGGAAUUUCCGGUGUAGCGGUGAAAUGCGUAGAGAUCGGAAGGAACGUCGAUGGCGAAGGCAGCCACCUGGCUUGAUACUGACGCUGAGGCGCGAAAGCGUGGGUAGCGAAC